rnacentral:rRNA from 1 species
GGGCUCACACAAGCGGUGGAGGAUGUGGCUUAAUUCGAGGCUACGCGAAGAACCUUAUCCUAGAUUUGACAUGCUUGAGAAUCCCUAUGAAAGUAGAGAGUGCUCUUCGGAGAGCUCUUGCACAGGUGCUGCAUGGCUGUCGUCAGCUCGUGUCGUGAGAUGUCGGGUUAAGUCCCUUAACGAGCGAAACCCUUAUCUCUAGUUGCCAGCGGGUAAUGCCGGGGACUCUAGAGAGACUGCCGGUGUCAAACCGGAGGAAGGUGGGGAUGACGUCAAGUCCUCAUGGCCUUUAUGUCUAGGGCUGCACACGUCCUACAAUGGCACGGACAAACGGACGCAAUACCGCGAGGUGGAGCAAAUCCUAGAAACCGUGCCCCAGUUCGGAUUGCAGGCUGCAACUCGCCUGCAUG